rnacentral:rRNA from 1 species
GAUGAACGCUGGCGGCGUGCUUAACACAUGCAAGUCGAACGGAAAGGCUCCUGCUUUCAGGGGUACUCGAGUGGCGAACGGGUGAGUAACACGUGGGUGAUCUGCCCUGCACUUCGGGAUAAGCCUGGGAAACUGGGUCUAAUACCGGAUAGGACGAUGGCUUGGAUGCCAUUGUGUAAAGUUUUUCGGUUUGGGAUGAGCUCGCGGCCUAUCAGCUUGUUGGUGGGGUAAUGGCCUACCAAGGCGUCGACGGGGAGCCGGCCUGAGAGGGUGUACGGCCACAUUGGGACUGAGAUACGGCCCAGACGCAUACGGGAGGCAGCAGUGGGGAAUAUUGCACAAUGGGCGCAAGCCGUAUGCAGGGUCGCCGCGUGGGGGAUGACGGCCAUCGGGUUGGAACCUCCUUUCGCUAGGGACGAAGCGCAAGGGACGGUACCUGGAGAAGAAGCACCGGCUAACUACGU